rnacentral:rRNA from 1 species
GACGGGACCCGCACAAGCGGUGGAUGAUGUGGAUUAAUCGAUGCAACGCGAAAACCUUACCUACCCUUGACAUGUCCGGAAUCUGCAGAGAUGCGGGAGUGCCCGAAAGGGAAUCGGAACACAGGUGCUGCAUGGCUGUCGUCAGCUCGUGUCGUGAGAUGUUGGGUUAAGUCCCGCAACGAGCGCAACCCUUAUCAUUAGUUGCUACGCAAGGGCACUCUAAUGAGACUGCCGGUGACAAACCGGAGGAAGGUGGGGAUGACGUCAAGUCCUCAUGGCCCUUAUGGGUAGGGCUUCACACGUCAUACAAUGGUCGGUACAGAGGGUUGCCAAGCCGCGAGGUGGAGCCAAUCCCAGAAAGCCGAUCGUAGUCCGGAUUGUUCUCUGCAACUCGAGAGCAUGAAGUCGGAAUCGCUAGUAAUCGCGGAUCAGCAUGUCGCGGUGAAUACGUUCCCGGGUCUU